UCGGAAACGCGACCCACUGAGAAGAUCCGGCGAGAAAACUCAGUGGGCUGUGUCUAUGGGUUUAACAUCCUCGCCGAGCCCUUCGUCGCAAGCG